rnacentral:rRNA from 1 species
AGUGAACGCUGGCGGUAGGCCUAACACAUGCAAGUCGAACGGCAGCACAGUAAGUGCUUGCUCUUACCGGUGGCGAGUGGCGGACGGGUGAGGUAUGCAUCGUAAUCUACUUUUUCGGGGGGGAUCACGUAGCUAGACCUACUCUAAUACCGCAUACGACCUUCGGUUGUAAGCAGGGGAUCUUUUCACCUUGCGCGAUUGAAUGCGCCGAUGUCGGGUUUGUUAGUUGGCGGGGUAAAGGCCCACCAAGGCGAGGAUCCGUAGCUGGUCUGAGAGGAUGGUCGGCCACACUGGAACUGGGACACGGUCCAGAGUCCUACGGGAGGCAGCAGUGGGGAAUAUUGGACAAUGGGCGCAAGCCUGAUCCAGCCAUAGCGCGUGGGUGAAGAAGGCCUUCGGGUUGUAAAGCCGUCCUGUGGGGAGAGAAAAGCAGCAGGUUAAUACGCCGCUGUUGUGACGGUACCGAAAGAAUAAGCACCGGCUAACUACGUG